UACAGAGGUCUCAAGCGUUUGUUCGGAUUCAUUGGGCGUAAAGGGUGCGUAGGCGGCGCGGUAAGUCGGGUGUGAAAUCUUGGAGCUUAACUCCGAAACUGCAUUCGAUACUGCCGUGCUUGAGGACUGGAGAGGAGACUGGAAUUUACGGUGUAGCGGUGAAAUGCGCAGAUAAUCAGGAGGAACACCGGUGGCGAAGGCGGGUCUCUGGGCCGAUAUUGACGCUGAGGAGCGAAAGCGUGGGGAGCGAACAGG
rnacentral:rRNA from 1 species